rnacentral:rRNA from 1 species
GACAGAGGGUGCAAACGUUGUUCGGAAUUACUGGGCAUAAAGAGCACGUAGGUGGUCUGCUAAGUCGUGUGUGAAAUCCCCCGGCUCAACCGGGGAAUUGCGCUCGAUACUGGCAGGCUCGAGGUGGGUAGGGGUGAGCGGAACUGCGAGUGUAGAGGUGAAAUUCGUAGAUAUUCGCAAGAACACCAGUGGCGAAGGCGGCUCACUGGCCCGAUACUGACGCUGAGGCACGAAAGCGUGGGGAGCAAACAGG